CGGCCCGUAGCUCAGUGGUAGAGCGGCAAACUCAUAAUUUGCUGGUCCCAGGUUCGAUCCCUGGCGGGCCGA
rnacentral:tRNA from 1 species